GUCAGGUUCACCGGGAAAUUGAGAUCGCGGGCCUUUAAAAGGAAAUUGAGGUUUCCUCUCAUCCCUGCCGAAUCCACGAAAAUCACCAGGGCCUGUGGGAUCGUAACGAGCUCCUGGUGGUAUAUUAGUUCGGUUUGCUGAAGCUUGUUCAUUUCGAGACCUGUUUUCAGGAUGAAAAAUAGGAUGAUUGAAUGUAGGAAUCAUACCUCCAUCGUUGCCCAUAUCAGAUCCUCCGAUUCCUGCUGGAUACAAAUCACUUGCUCCUAUAGAAGGAAACAUUGGUUGUGAGCCAGGCAUUGCACCAAAUGGUCCAGCAAACCCAAAUGGAGCUCUGCUCUUCUCCUGAUAUGAUUCAUAAUUUAACUCAUUAGCCGAGGUAUCUUUAGCGGUACGUGCAGCAUGUUCAGCAAGCCGAUUAUCUGUAUCAACUGGACAAACCUCUGCAACUAAAGAUUCCAAAUUCCAAGGCUGAUCAUCAUCUAAACGGAAAAUCCUUGUAGCUGUGAUAUUUGAUGAAGUAUUAGCACACAAAAUAUAAAUCCAUUUAUUCCAAAA